GAGCUUGCUCCUUUGACGUUAGCGGCGGACGGGUGAGUAACACGUGGGUAACCUACCUAUAAGACUGGGAUAACUUCGGGAAACCGGAGCUAAUACCGGAUAACAUUUGGAACCGCAUGGUUCUAAAGUGAAAGAUGGUUUUGCUAUCACUUAUAGAUGGACCCGCGCCGUAUUAGCUAGUUGGUAAGGUAACGGCUUACCAAGGCGACGAUACGUAGCCGACCUGAGAGGGUGAUCGGCCACACUGGAACUGAGACACGGUCCAGACUCCUACGGGAGGCAGCAGUAGGGAAUCUUCCGCAAUGGGCGAAAGCCUGACGGAGCAACGCCGCGUGAGUGAUGAAGGGUUUCGGCUCGUAAAACUCUGUUAUUAGGGAAGAACAAACGUGUAAGUAACUGUGCACGUCUUGACGGUACCUAAUCAGAAAGCCACGGCUAACUACGUGCCAGCAGCCGCGGUAAUACGUAGGUGGCAAGCGUUAUCCGGAAUUAUUGGGCGUAAAGCGCGCGUAGGCGGUUUCUUAAGUCUGAUGUGAAAGCCCACGGCUCAACCGUGGAGGGUCAUUGGAAACUGGGAAAC
rnacentral:rRNA from 1 species